rnacentral:rRNA from 1 species
UGGGGAAUAUUGGGCAAUGGGCGAAAGCCUGACCCAGCAACGCCGCGUGGAGGAAGAAGGUUUUCGGAUCGUAAACUCCUGUCCUCAGGGAAGAGAAGAAGACGGUACCUGAGGAGGAAGCCCCGGCUAACUACGUGCCAGCAGCCGCGGUAAUACGUAGGGGGCAAGCGUUGUCCGGAAUGAUUGGGCGUAAAGGGCGCGUAGGCGGCCCGGUAAGUCUGGAGUGAAAGUCCUGCCUUCAAGGUGGGAAUUGCUUUGGAUACUGUCGGGCUUGAGUGCAGGAGAGGUAAGUGGAAUUCCCAGUGUAGCGGUGAAAUGCGUAGAGAUUGGGAGGAACACCAGUGGCGAAGGCGACUUACUGGACUGUAACUGACGCUGAGGCGCGAAAGUGUGGGGAGCAAACAGGAUUAGAUACCCUGGUAGU